AUGAACGCUGGCGGCGUGCCUAAUCCAUGCCAGUCGAGCGAACGGACGAGAAGCUUGCUUCUCUGAUGUUAGCGGCGGACGGGUGAGUAACCCGUGGAUAACCUACCUACAAGAAUGGGAUAACUUCGGGAAACCGUACCUAAUACCGGAUAAUAUUUUGAACCGCAUGGUUCAAAAGUGAAAGACGGUCUUGCUGUCACUUAUAGAUGGAUCCGCGCUGCAUUAGCUAGCUGGUAAGGUAACGGCUUCACAAGGCAACGAUGCAUAGCCGACCUGAGAGGGUGAUCGGCCACACGGGAACUGAGACACGGUCCAGACUCCUACGGGAGGCAGCAGUAGGGAAUCUUCCGCAAUGGGCGAAAGCCUGAUGGAGCAACGCCGCGUGAGUGAUGAAGGUCUUCUGAUCGUAAAGCUCUGUUAGUAGGGAAGAACAUAUGUGUAAGUAACUGUGCACAUCUUGACGGUACCUAAUCAGAAAGCCACGGCUAACUUCGUG
rnacentral:rRNA from 1 species